CAGCGCCCGGUGACUGCGGACGGAUGAAUAGACGCUGCGGGUCACUGCGCUCUCCCCUGGGUAGAACAGAUGGUUUGAAAAGGAAAGAUUUUUUUUUCACAUAUGGGGAAAAAAAAUUCCCAGCCUUGGAAGGAUAUUUGGGUUAGAGGCCGAAGUGCAUCACAGAUCACGCACGCGUCCACACCUCAGAAAACACUCACUCAUUCCUGAGACGCAACGUCUCCGGCACACAGCUCCGCAGCUGGGGGUGACUAAGAGCCCACACCACGCAAGUAAUAAAACGCUCCAAUUUCAUUUAUUUAAUCAUCUGUGUGCUUCAUUUGACAAAUAUUUAUGGAGUGUCUGCUGCUAGCUCAGUGCCUGGUGCCUGGGACUGAAGACCAGAGCCCCCUGGAGACCAAAAGAGCCAGCUCCCAGCUGUGAGCAGAUCGGGUCCAAAGAUCACGGGCUCGGCGGCAGGAACCUGGUUUGGUAUCCGGCUCCUCUGCGGACUUUGAAGUGCUUUACCGAUUCACAUGACAACUGGUAAAACGAAAACAAACACCUUUCCAGGAAUUGUGAAUUCGAGUUCCAGACCCUCUGGGAUUCCGGGAGCGCAGCUGCUAUUUAUGUUAACAGUCAUUGGUCCCAGGCUGGUGAGGUUAGAAUUUCCAAGUAUAAAAGUAAUUUAGUUUCGUUUUAAAUACAUUUUAGGGCCAAAGAAAAGUGGAACGAUUUAAAGAAAAAGAUGAAAUGAAUAAUAGGGCAAGUUGGGAGGUGGCUGUCCUGAGGUUUCAUGGGACAACAUUAAUUAACCUCAUGAAGUGCCUGCAUGGACAACGUGCCCGGUGUGGUUACAAACAAACCAAUCAGCACAGAUCCUGGGUGGAAAGCAGGGCGCAGCCACGGAGGCACAGUAGGGGUGCAGACUUGAAGGUUUUUAGGAGGUAAGCCCCGAGGGCACGAAGCUCCACGGAGAGACUGUUGACCCGCCUGGGAGUGCAGUGCAGGGUCCUGGAGCAACUCAACCCUUGUAAGUGCAUGGCUCAGUGAGAUCGUGGAGCUGACAUAGGGCUGACCUGGCUCUCAGAGGCCCCAGAAUAAAGCUGGAGCCCCUGGGGUCCACCUGCUGGCAUGACCAUGGGACAGGGGCGUGGAGCUGAGCUGGGUCAGCCACCUGGGAACAUAGUCCCCUCCCGCCAGGCCUCUGCACCCAGCCUCCUCCCUGCUUAGUAGGCUCCUCCCUCCCCUACAACAGCCACUCCUGCCACCACUUGCAUGGUUGUUUUUGAGAAUUCCCUCCGCAUUGUGUUAUUUUCUAAAAGAACAUAACUUGUUCACU
rnacentral:lncRNA from 1 species